rnacentral:rRNA from 1 species
AGUGAGUGGCGGACGGGUGAGUAACACGUGGGUAACCUGCCCUAAAGUGGGGGAUAACAUUUGGAAACAGAUGCUAAUACCGCAUAAAACCUAACACCGCAUGGUGUAGGGUUGAAAGAUGGUUUCGGCUAUCACUUUAGGAUGGACCCGCGGUGCAUUAGUUAGUUGGUGAGGUAAAGGCUCACCAAGACCGUGAUGCAUAGCCGACCUGAGAGGGUAAUCGGCCACACUGGGACUGAGACACGGCCCAGACUCCUACGGGAGGCAGCAGUAGGGAAUCUUCCACAAUGGACGAAAGUCUGAUGGAGCAACGCCGCGUGAGUGAAGAAGGUUUUCGGAUCGUAAAACUCUGUUGUUGGAGAAGAAUGUAUCUGAUAGUAACUGAUCAGGUAGUGACGGUAUCCAACCAGAAAGCCACGGCUAACUACGUGCCAGCAGCCGCGGUAAUACGU